rnacentral:lncRNA from 1 species
CAACUGAGCACAGGAGGUACAAGAGCCUGGGCUAAAAAUGAAAGGAAACAGGAAGUAAGGCCUGACGUACCCAGUAGGAGAUAGGGUUUGCUACUUGCACAAAUAACUGAACAGAGGAAGAUGCCUUCUCCCAGGCAACGUUUGCAGUCGACCACGGUAAACAAUGGAAACGAAGAAGGCAUCUCUUCUGAGGCUUCUCUAGAGGACAUGACCACCUUCAACCUUUCCUUUCAUGACUCCUAAUACUCAGCAUAACAGUUUGCCUCAUUACCUAUGCACAUUUGGAUUUUGGACUCCUUUUGGAAUGGUCUUCUCCAGCCCUGUUCUCCUACCUUGCAUCUGUCCUGUAUCUACAGCACGGCCUGGAACCCACUGAACUGAAAGGUAAAGCUCACUACUGACUUCAUUGGAGAAAUCAAGCAUCUGACUCUUAUUUUUCAUGGAUACUUGCAUGACCUGCUGAAGAAAAUGGCAACUUUUAACCUUUGGCCUUCUUAUAGAUUUAAGACAACUAGUAGUCUUCAAGAGCUAGAAAGAACUACAGUGGCACAUAGCCAAUGAAGGUGAAAUAAUGAUAUCCAUCAUCUUAAAAGCUACUAGAUUACUAGAUUUCCUAGUUUAAGAAGUGAAAAGGAAGGUACUCUCUUACCUAGUGCAGUAGAAAACAAGAAAAAAGACAAACUGCUCUUUAAAGUUGAGAAAGCAUGCCAAAGUGCUUUGACUAAUCAAAUAUGUCUUCAUCUACUUUUUUUUUUGAUACUGUUCUGUAUUGUGCUUAACGUUUCGAAGAAAAAGUACGAGCCUGAGUGACAGUCUACAGGACCUGCUUAUUUCAGGUACAUUAUGUCAGUCUCUUUUUGCUGACAAUACAUCAUCAGAGGAACAGACUAGUUUGAAGUCCUGUUGAGUUACUAGCUGGGUCUACACGGCAAUGCUGCUUCAAAUGAUUUUAUCCUUUUAGCUUGCAAGUGCCUUGUUACCCGAGG